rnacentral:tmRNA from 1 species
GGGGGUGACCGGCUUUGACGGUCUGUACCUUGAAAGACGUGCGACGCAGUGCCCUCCCGCCACCACGUAAAACUGGCGGGAAAUCAAACUUGCCGAGAACAUUCUUGCAAGCGCGAAGAAGUCUCCUUACUUCGGUAAGGUCGGCGAUAUCGCGUUCGCCUACGCGACAGCUCGCGGCUAACGCCAAAAGCUCUCGCCUAGCGCGACGUUUAUCUUCCACCGGAUUCUACAGCGGGGAGGAUGGGCGGAAUUAUCUGUAGAAUCGAUGUCCAGUCUCCCGACUGGCGCAUCUAAAUAAGGGAUCGGGCAGGAAUGGUUUCGUCUGCGUUCCUCGCAUCCUACCUUAGACACUAACGCUGACUAUGCGUCGUAGAAGCGCUUUCAUAGACGGAUUCGGACCGGAGUUCAAUUCUCCGCACCUCCACAA